AGCGAACGUUUGCGGCGGGCCUAACACAUGCAAGUCGAACGCACUAGCAAUAGUGAGUGGCGCACGGGUGCGUAACACGUGGGUAAUCAACCCUUCAGCCUGGGAUAACGACUCGAAAGGGUCGCUAAUACCGGAUACGGCGCGAGAGGCUUCGGCUUCUCACGAGAAAGCCACGCAAGGGGCACUGAAGGACGAGCCUGCGGCCCAUCAGCUAGUUGGUGAGGUAAGAGCUCACCAAGGCUAAGACGGGUAGCUGGUCUGAGAGGAUGAUCAGCCACACUGGAACUGAGACACGGUCCAGACUCCUACGGGAGGCAGCAGUGGGGAAUAUUGCGCAAUGGGCGAAAGCCUGACGCAGCCACGCCGCGUGAGCGAUGAAGGCCUCGGGUCGUAAAGCUCUGUGGGAGGAGACGAAGAAAGACCUGUGAAGAGCAGGCCUUGACGGUAGUCUCCUUAGCAAGCACCGGCGUAACUACCGU
rnacentral:rRNA from 1 species